CAUUGGACUCCAGCCUGAGUAACAGAGUGAGACUCCGUCUCAAAAAAAAAAAAAAAAUGUAUUGUUGGAUCAUAGAUAUGCAUCAUUUACAGGUUUUUCAUUGAUGGCUCCUCUGUAACCCACCAAAUCUGAACCAGUACACACACCCACCAGCAGUGGUUACAGGUGUCUACUUUCUCAUGUCUUCAUUCUUAUCAGAUGAUAUCUUUCCACAGUUUAAAAACUUGCCUUUGACAAAAGAUAAGCAGAAAAGCAGAAGAAAGAGAAGAAAGCUAGCCUUCUGGGUGUUAAAUAAAUUCGGAUGUAUUCCUACAGUGCAUCUGUGUCAGGUAUGUUUGACCACCCAUGAAAGGUUUGUGCUUCCCUUCCAUAGUGUCCAGUAGUUCCAGACAAGCAGCUGUCCAGCUGGGACAGUUUCCUGGUGCUGGUCUACAGGUGGAAGUCUUCAAGUUCUGGCCAAAGUAAUGUGUGCAAAAGUGUUAGAUGUCACCUCUAGACUUGGCUUACUGUAAAACAAACCUUUCACCCUUCUCCACACUCUCCUUCCCCAUCUACUGGCUGGAUAUUGUCACCCAGAGUGACUUUAGGAGCCACCAAGUAUGUGGAAGUCAUAUGUUGAAGGUGGCAGGGCCGUGGUCAUCCUGGAUUCCUGAAUAAGUGCUGAGAGCAAAAUAUCUCCUUACCCUCCUCACUCCCACUUGAUCCCCAGUUGGAUUGAGAAGGCAGUCAAGGAAGUGCUUUAUCAAAAUGGAAGACACAGAAUCCAGGAACCAACAGCCCCAGCAAAGGAAACAGGAAGAUUUCAGGGAGCAGGGAGAGCCACAGGAGGCUGGCCAAGAGUGUGCAUCGCUGUCCCGAGGAGGGCAGUGCGGAGUGCCCUGGUUGGAGGGUGUCUCCGAAGGACCCACCAGAGCACCUCCAGGAAAAGGUCAGUAUUUGUGCAUCUGCUGCAACAGAAGGCACGUAUCUGCCUGAGGGGAACUGGAAACGGAACCAGUGAGCGAAACAGUCUCGCCCUCCUUCUGUGCCCAAGCCUGGAGGAUGUAGGAGCGGGGAUCAGAGGAGAGGAUGUGGAGCAAAGAAGGAAAACAGCUUGUCAAUCAUGAAGACUGUCAAUCAGUGAAGUCUCCAUAAAAGGCCCAAGAGGAGAGGGUCCGGGGAGCUUCCAGCUAGCUAAGCGCGUGGAGGUUCCUGAAGGGCUGUGCCCAGGGAGGGCGUGGAAGCUCCACACCCCUUCCCCCGUGCCGUGUCUAUGCAUCUGUUCAUCUGUACCCUUUGUAACAUCCUUUAUAAUAAACCGGUAACUGAAAGUAAGUGUUUCCCCGAGUUCGGUGAGCUGCUCCAGCAAAUUAAUUGAGCCUAGAGGGGGCUUGUUGGGACCUUAACUUUAAGCUGAUCAAUCAGAAGUCCUGGAGGCCGGAACUGGUGUCUGAAGGCGGGGUGGCGCUUUUGGGGACUGAGCCCUCAGCCUGUGGGAUCUGAUACUCUCACCAGGAAGGCAGAGUCGGUAUUGAAUUGGAGGACACCUGGCUGAUUUCCACGGCAACGUUGCUCCCUUGCUGGCUGGCGGGGAGAAAUCCCCACACAUACUUUGGGGUCACAGAAGUCUUCUUUGUUGAUGAUUGUUAUGGCGGUGGUGUGAGAACAGAGGAAAAAGAGGGCUUGCGUUUUUACAAACCUUAUUGCAAAAGGUAGAAGAAAAAGUGUUGAAACUAAAAACCAUAAAGUGACUGUUCUGUUUUCCAAUUAGUUAGCUUUGAGGUGCAGCUGGCUUCUUCUUGGUUUGAAAUCAUGGUGACGCUGGUGGUGGACACAGAGAAGAGCCCCACAGGCGGAAUCCUGGGCCUUCCAGAAGAGCAGUCCAGAAGCAACCUUGUCCCACCAAGCUUGGGUCUGACCAUUCGCACCUGUUGGUUUUGAAUUCAACUGCUCCAUGGAGGUGUUUGCCCAAACCUUGGCUUCAAGCUAAUUAAUGUUGUGUCUUCAAACACUUCAAGGUGCAGUUCUAGUGUUGCGGUUCUUAAUUUCAGUGCAAUAUAAACUGUCUUUGAAUGAUUUGGAUGACAAGGAAUUUAUUAUGUUAGGAAGCUCACAGACCUCCUUGCCUGUGCUGUAGAACUGGACUUGGAUGCUAUGGCUAGGACCAAUGUCUUAAAUUACAGUGCAGAACUGGUCUUGUGAAGGUAUCAUUGUCACCACCCCUGGGCCCAGCCCCCUACUGCUUGUACUUCCAAGCCCACUGGUGCUGGCUGCUGCCUCCAAACCUGGUGUAGCCCCCACCAUGGCUACCUCCCUCUUCAGAAGGGAUUUUGCCUAAGUCCUGCUUUUUUGUGUCACUAGCAGUUGAAUCAGGGCCAAUGGGGAAGACUCGUUGAUCACGUACCACAGCCGAGCCACAAGGGAGGCUGGGGUUCAGCUUUCGGCUUCUAUAAUGGGGAGUGAUCAUUUUCCACCACCAAGAUUUAUAAGGUGAGAAAUUCCCCAAACGUGGAAAGCUGUCAGUCAAAAAAAAAUCAGAUAGUCACCACAACUAGCCUGUAGUUCACUCCCAUCCUCCCAUGGCUGUCAAGGAGGGUUUUCCUGACCACGCUGUUUAAGCUAGGCUGACUCUACUCCCAGUUUCUCUCCAUGUUAGCACUUAUCACAAUUUGUGAUGGUUUUAUUUCUUAGGUCUCUUGCUUGCCUGCUGGACUGUAAACUCCCUGAGGCCAGGGAUUGUGCCAAUCCUGUUCACUGUUGUAUUUUCAGCACUAACAACAGCAUUUCAAACAAUAUGGGCAUUCAUCUAUUCAAUAAAUAAGUGGUGCACAAUGGACACAAUUUCCUGCCCUCCCAGAGCAUCUGAAUGAAUGAACAAAUGAACAAAGGAUGCAUUACUCUUAGCUUGCUAAUGUAAACUCAGAUCGCUGGCAGCCAGUGACUUGACAAUAUAUAUUUAUGAAUAAAUAACAUUUUCCACCCUUGAUUAUCACUGAGGUAAAGGAGAGUGGCUCUGAGAAGAACUUAUAAAAUUUAUCAGAAGAGUUAAAAAGAUAUAUACAGGGUUGAAAGAACCCAGAAAUGAAUUCACAUUUGGUUGGUAACUAUAAGAUAAGCUCCAAUCUUUGACUUUCCAGAAAACAAUGCAAGGGGGGAAGCUGAAGACUCCCCCUGAGACUUUAGCCUACCACUAUGAAAAUGUGCUGAGCCUGCUCUAUGGACGCGGCCAGAGCAGGAUUCCAGAGAAGUCUCCCAAGAUAUUCUGUAAGUUAAUUAGAUUCUCUUUCAAUGUUGAACUGCUGGAAACUGUUCAAUAGCAACUGCUGUGCUAAGACAAUUAUUCUGAG